rnacentral:rRNA from 1 species
UACGGGGGGGGCAAGCGUUGUUCGGAAUUACUGGGCGUAAAGGGCUCGUAGGCGGCCAACUAAGUCGGAUGUGAAAUCCCCAGGCUUAACCUGGGAACUGCAUCCGAUACUGGAUGGCUUGAAUCCGGGAGAGGGAUGCGGAAUUCCAGGUGUAGCGGUGAAAUGCGUAGAUAUCAGGAGGAACACCUGUGGUGUAGACGGCUUUCUGGACCGUAGCUGACGCUGAGACACGAAAGCGUGGGGAGCAAACAGG